CACUAUCAAUCUUUGUGGCGGUGACUAACUCCUGGGUUUUUAUGUUAGUGACCUGAUUCUGCACUAACAUGCUCCUCCCAGUUUGGUGAAGCUCCCCAUGUGAUCUAUUCUUCCCCCUAAAUAAAGUUGAAAAAUUUGGCUGGGAUCAGCGAGCGCUGCUGAGGCAGCGGGUGUGCGGAGCUGUUCCACCCUCCCCGCAGCUGCAGCACAAAGAAGGCGCCUGUUCAGCACGAUCCGCUGCUCGGUUUUAAAGACCAAGAGGGGACGAGACGGGCCAGUUUGCGAGCUCUCUGGCUACCUCCGUGGUCAGGCUUCGGCAGGGGCUCCCAGCCUUGCCAGCCCUCAGCGCUCUCCCCUUCUGAAAGUAGCCCAGCGAGCCGGGGAAGAUGUGGCUGGAGAAGGUCAUUUUUCCAGAUGCCAGACUUGCAAUCAGUGAGGACAUCUAAGCUCCAGUAGAACAAGGACAAAAACCACAAAUCACAAUCCUCUCCAGACAAGCCAAGUCUGAGAGAAAAUAUUAAAGAAGAGGCGAAAAGCAAAACCUUUCACUAACAUGAGAGCUCCUGGUUUGUAGCAGAUUUUGUUAAUGCCUAUAAUGUUAGAGAGACCCCUUGAGAAAGAAGACAACAGUGCACAUGCGUUUCUGACUUACACAAGUGCGAAUAUAGAUGAUCUGUGCUGUAGACUUUGUGCCACGUGCAGUUAUUCCUACGCUCCCUGGCUUCAUAAAUAAACCAAGUUGCUGAGCCACAUCUAUGCUUGGGGAACCUGAGGAGAAAACAGUUUUACGAAUGACACGGGUGACGAGGGACUCGUAGUUCUGGCUUCUUCAGAAAUUUUAACCGUGUGAGAACAACCACUGAAUCCCAAUGAGGCCCAAGUUCAAAGAAGUUCCUGUACCUGCGCUUUUGACCUCAACAGACUAUGAAAACUUUGCUGAACUGAACACAACAAGAGACACUGAAACUAAGCAGCUAGAGGGGUCCCUCUCAUCCACUAUUGCACUGAUUAUAGUGCUGAUUAUUAUUUUCUCUUUGGUAAUGACAUCUCUAGUAACCUACUGUUUUCACAAGUGGAAACUGAGAGGUAAAAAACUGCAAAGAGCACAAGAGGAGUAUCAGAAAGACCACGAAAAGAGCAUUUGUCAAAGCACGCCUGGACUAGUUUCAUAAAAAAGGGUCCAUCAAAAAUACUCUCGCAUUACCUGAAAAUAAUAAAAGAACAGCAACUAUGAAAUUUCCGAGCAAAUAUAUCCUUGUUUUAUUUAUAAGAGUUGUUAGCAGUUUGGAGAUUUCCUACAGCUUUACUAUAAAUAUAUAUAUAUUUAUAUAUUUAGUCUCAUUUGUGCAGAGUAAAACCAAUGCAAUCACAUAUUUUUAAUCUCUGUUGUAUAACCAAACCAGUCAAUUUAAAUCUGCUGCUCGCGCUCUUUCAAAAACCCACUGGCCUGUGGAAAGCAAAAGGUCAGACUUUGGUUAAUAUAGGCAAAGGGGCAGAUUUUGGUUAAUGCAAACCAACACAGCUGGGGAAAAAUAAAAUAAAAUUAAGUUUAAAAAGAAAGUGGAGUUGUGUUGUCUUGCACUGACCUAAUCAUCUGCCUUAAGAUUUUGAAAUCCAGAGUGUUAAGUAAAUGGGAUCCCUGGAUCCCCAGCAGUAGCCGCCUGGCCCUGGCGGCCGGUAGCUGGAGAACCCUUCACGUCUUUGGCCAAAGUUCCACACAGAAAGCGUGGGGGACCAAACCCUGAAGUUGUCAGCAGGCAGAAAGUCACAUUUCUUUCCCGUAAGGUUCAGUGUUGAGAGGUGCUAGUGGCAUUCCAACCAUAUGUGGAUUAAGGACUUCCAAUGGUAGUGGAACCUAACUUACCAAGGAAAGAGCAAGCCUAAGACGCUUUUUAAACCAGGCUUGUAAUUAUUUUUAAACCAACCAUACAAUGGUGUGUUUCUAUUUUCAUAGCUUGUAAUAUUAUAAUCACAGAAAAGUGACAGAUCUCUUGUGAGUAGCAUAUAAGUAAUAUUUUCUAACAAAGUGAUGUAUGUAAUAUUAAUAUAUGUAACUGUUUUAAAAAGUAGAAAACGUGUACAAUUACAACCAAAACCCCUGUUCAAGUAUAUAGCUUGCUUGCAAUUACCAUGAAUGCUGUAUGUAUUUUUAAACAAGCUAUAAUACUGUGAUGAUGCUGUAAACUUACUUCUGUAGGCAAAAAAUGUUCUAUUUAAAAAUGUCAAGAAGAAGGAUGUAAAUGUUCUUUAAGAAAUAUGAAUUUGCACAGAAUAUUCAGAAGGAUUCUGUUACAUGCUACGGAUAUAUUUUACAAACGUAUUUAUGGGUCAUACACACUAGUCUUUGUGACAGCAAACAGUACUAUUUUAUUACAAAAUAAAUAAAUGAAUAAAUAAGCAGUGAAUAUCCA